AGGAGUUUGGAUCCUGGCUCAGACGAACGCUGGCGGCGUGCUUAACACAUGCAAGUCGCGUGCGCAGUCUGUAGCAAUACAGACCGGCGCACGGCGCACGGGUGCGUAACACGUGGGCAAUCUGCCCUCCGAUGGGGAAUAACCCCGCGAAAGCGGGGCUAAUACCGCAUAAAAUUUCCUAGACUAUGGUCCGGGAAUUCAAAGCAGUAAUGCGUCGGAGGAGGAGCCCGCGCCCGAUUAGCUAGUUGGCGAGGUAACGGCUCACCAAGGCAAUGAUCGGUAGCUGGUCUGAGAGGAUGAUCAGCCACACUGGAACUGAGACACGGUCCAGACCCCUACGGGAGGCAGCAGUGGGGAAUCUUGCACAAUGGGCGAAAGCCUGAUGCAGCGACGCCGCGUGGGGGAUGAAGCAUUUCGGUGUGUAAACCCCUUUCGACCGGGAAGAAUGCCUCGCAAGAGGAUUGACGGUACCGGUAUAAGAAGCCCCGGCUAACUACGUGCCAGCAGCCGCGGUAAGACGUAGGGGGCCAGCGUUGUUCGGAAUUACUGGGUGUAAAGGGUUCGUAGGCGGUGCGGCAAGUUGGGAGUGAAAUCUCUGGGCUUAACCCAGAGGCUGCUUCCAAAACUGCUGUGCUUGAGUGUGGGAGAGGCGCGUGGAAUUGC
rnacentral:rRNA from 1 species